GGCUGAAUGGUCUAGUAGUAUGAUUCCUGCUUCGGGUGCAGGAGGUCCCGGGUUCAAUUCCCGGUUCAGCCC
rnacentral:tRNA from 1 species